rnacentral:rRNA from 1 species
CUCCUUUGACGUUAGCGGCGGACGGGUGAGUAACACGUGGGUAACCUACCUAUAAGACUGGGAUAACUUCGGGAAACCGGAGCUAAUACCGGAUAAUAUUUCGAACCGCAUGGUUCGAUAGUGAAAGGUGGUUUUGCUAUCACUUAUANAUGGACCCGCGCCGUAUUAGCUAGUUGGUAAGGUAACGGCUUACCAAGGCGACGAUACGUAGCCGACCUGAGGAGGGUGAUCGGCCACACUGGAACUGAGACACGGUCCAGACUCCGUACGGGAGGCAGCAGGC